UAGGGAAUCUUCGGCAAUGGACGAAAGUCUGACCGAGCAACGCCGCGUGAGUGAAGAAGGUUUUCGGAUCGUAAAACUCUGUUGUUAGAGAAGAACAAGGACGUUAGUAACUGAACGUCCCCUGACGGUAUCUAACCAGAAAGCCACGGCUAACUACGUGCCAGCAGCCGCGGUAAUACGUAGGUGGCAAGCGUUGUCCGGAAUUAUUGGGCGUAAAGCGAGCGCAGGCGGUUUCUUAAGUCUGAUGUGGAAGCCCCCGGCUCAACCGGGGAGGGUCAUUGGAAACUAGGAGACUUGAGUGCAGAAGAGGAGGGUGGAAUUCCAUGUGUAGCGGUGAAAUGCGUAGAUAUGUGGUGGAACGCCAGUGGCGAAGGCGGCUCUCUGGUCUGUAACUGACGCUGAGGCUCGAAAGCGUGGGGAGCAAACAGG
rnacentral:rRNA from 1 species